rnacentral:lncRNA from 1 species
CUCCUGCCCCAGCAGCAGCAGCUCGCAGUGGCCCUGGCGGACAGAGGCAGAGUUAGAGACCUGGUGCCAGCCCCAUUGCAGCAAGGCUUCUCGAGGCACUGGAUGGCCAGAGACUGGGGCUGUAUCAGAAAUGCAUCAUAGCGAGCACGUCAUGUCCACAUGGGUUCCAGCCCUGGGCAGACAGGGAGUCUUGACGGCAGGUAUCGAGGUCUGCCCUCGGCAGCACUAACAGGACCCAGAGUCAUGUGAUAAAACCCUGAAACUAGCGCUCCCUUUGGAACACGUAGCACACACUGUCAAGAAUCAGUUCCCUUUUCCGUGGUGGAAAUUUGUGUUUCAGGACACCAUUGCCUUCCCUAGCUUUAAGAGGAGACAGCAGGGUUUCAGCGUGGGCAGUAACCAGCUGUGCAAAUCGGAGUCUCCGGAGGGGCCGUUCUGAGCAUGAGCCUGAGAUCAGGAUAAGAAAAGGUUAGAAGCCUCUCUUUCCUCACAGAAGCGUUUGUGAGGACACUGAGUCCCCUCCCUACGCCGCGGCGUGGCUGCAUCGGGCUGUCCGCGUGGCCAGCGGUGUCUAACAAGCCGGCCACGGAGAAAGGAAGAGCCUGCCCACCUCCCCAGCACCUUCUGGGCCCGGGUUCCAGCCUCCGAGGCGCCCGUUCAGGUCACCUGUGAAGCUCUUAAAAGCGCCAGCACCCAGGCUGCCUCUGGGACGGCUGGGGUAUCUCCGCUGGGCCCGGCGUCAGGGACGGGAGAGCCAAACAUUGCCUGGCAGGGACUGGGCCUGUCUCCAUGCCUCUCCGAACCCCUGCCAGGCACAGUGCACACUUCACCUGCAAGACGAAGCAAAGGGGACGUUUCCUGAACUGUGG